rnacentral:rRNA from 1 species
UACAGAGACUGCGAGCGUUAUUCGGAUUCACUGGGCGUAAAGGGUGCGCAGGCGGCCGUGUGUGUGAGGCGUGAAAGCCCGGGGCUUAACCCCGGAAUUGCACCUCAAACUACACGGCUAGAGCAUUGGAGAGGGUAGCGGAAUUCACGGUGUAGCAGUGAAAUGCGUAGAUAUCGUGAGGAACACCAGAGGCGAAGGCGGCUACCUGGACAAUUGCUGACGCUCAGGCACGAAAGCGUGGGGAGCAAGCAGG